GUCAUAGCCAUCUGACAUGUCUGACACUGUGACACAAUGAAGCUACAACUCUCUUCAUACUAGACCAAUUACAGUUAACACUUCAUAUCUUUGUACGCCUUGGUGUUCCCGAUGGGUAGAGAAACACGAGUGAUGCAUUUGCUGUAAGAUUCUUUUUCUUAACAGCUUAUCGUCCAACACACAACUCGAUUUCAGUACAGGUACAUCCCGCUCAACACUUAUGAUAACAAUACUCCCAAUAUCGAUCGUCUUACAAAGCCAUAACGCUAACAUGUGUUUGGGGUAUCCUCCAUAGCAAAACUGCCUGCUCCAAAGUCCCAAGGCCAUCUGUCUCUCCAUCGACAGUAAUGGCACACAAUCUGAGACUAGCCAAUAUCCCAGUAAACUCAUGAACCUCUUUGGUUCCUGAUACGUCGUUCAUGUGCCUAUCCAAGGCAUUUGUCACCUGGUUGUCUUUACCAGAUGGUAUGCAAUGUCCAAACUGUAGCCUGCUACCAACUCAAUCCAACUGCACUGUCUAAGUACAUGUUUUAAUGAAUGAAGAUAGAUUUCAGCCUCCAAUGAUCCCAGAGAAUCUGAACUUCCUUCUUGUACAAUUACAAUCUCCAAAACUAUAACGCAAAUACCACUGCAGCCACUACGAAUCAUGAAUAGGGUAGUGGGUCUCGUGAGGUCUCAACUGAUGCAAUGUAUAUAGAAUGACCUGAUCCUCAUGCAUCAAUACAAAAUGC
rnacentral:lncRNA from 1 species